AGUAUACAUGUGAUUUAACUGUCAAAGCCGGAAUGUUUAAAGCAUACAUCCCGCCCAAGGCAUGCUGGGAUGAUCUCCUAUCAGGCAGCUUGGAAACUUCCAGACGCCGAUAUGCCUUACGUUCGGUGCAGCCGAGGUUAUGAACUGUCAAGUGGAAUAUGCCCCUUGAGGAAAACAAUUAGGAUCGACUGUCCAGCGAGGAGAUUGCGGAAUCAGCAACUGACAUAUUGACUGAUGCAACAUGAUGGUGCGUGCAGCAAGAGAGGGUUUGAC